GUAGGUCUAUGUUGUAAGGUAGGUCCAUGUUGUAAGGUAGGUCUAGGUUGUCUAUGUUGUAAGGUAGGUCCAUGUUGUAAGGUAGGUCCAUGUUGUAAGGUAGGUCUAGGUUGUCUAUGUUGUAAGGUAGGUCCAGGU